AGAGUUUGAUCAUGGCUACAGAACGAACGCUGGCGGCAGGCCUAACACGAUGCAAGUCGAGCGCGCCCUUCGGGGUGAGCGGCGGACGGGUUAGUAACGCGUGGGAACGUACCCUUUGGUAGGGAAUAGCCACUGGAAACGGUGAGUAAUACCCUAUGAGCCCUUCGGGGGAAAGAUUUAUCGCCAAAGGAUCGGCCCGCGUUAGAUUAGGUAGUUGGUGGGGUAAUGGCCUACCAAGCCUACGAUCUAUAGCUGGUUUUAGAGGAUGAUCAGCAACACUGGGACUGAGACACGGCCCAGACUCCUACGGGAGGCAGCAGUGGGGAAUCUUGGACAAUGGGGGCAACCCUGAAUCCAGCCAUGCCGCGUGAGUGAAGAAGGCCUUAGGGUCGUAAAGCUCUUUCGCCUGUGAAGAUAAUGACGGUAGCAGGUAAAGAAACCCCGGCUAACUCCGUGCCAGCAGCGGC
rnacentral:rRNA from 1 species